GGUCACCCGGCAGACAAGUGGCGGAGGCAGAAUUAGAACCCACGCCCUCCGACUCCCCAGCCCGGGCUCUCUCCGCAAAGCCGCGCGGCUUCCCAUCUUACCCCCGGCGCGUGGUUUAGUGCCCGGCACGUCGUGAGCGCUUACAGGUAGUGCCUUAAAAAAAAAAAGGCUACCAACUCCGGUGUGUUUUCCCAAGUGCUCAGCACAGUGCUGCUCCUAGAGAGGCACUCGAUAGAUACCGUUACUUCUUGCCGCUCCUGGCGAGCGUGAGGCCGGACUCCCUCACCUCCCGGUGCGCCAGAAAGCUGGAGGACCGCCCUUUCCUCCAAACCCACCCAUUUCUGUGCCGAGCCACGAUGGCGACGUGGGAGAGGCCGCUGGAGACAAAGAAAGAGACUUCGAGCUCCCCGUGGGCGGGGAUCGUGUCCGCCGACUCCGUCGUGAGAAGCGGAUCGGCCUAGUGGGCAGAGCCCGGGCCUGGGGGGAAAGAAGGCCCUGGGUUCCCGUGCCGGCUCGGCCGCUUAUCUGCUCUGUGACCUUGGGGAACGUGUUUUUCCUCCAUUGUCUCAAGGCGCUCGACGCGCCCGUUGAAUGAUGCCGAACGUUUCCUUUUCGAAAGGCCCCCGGUGACGUUAAUCCAACGCCGUCUUCAGCCCUCCUAUAUUUCCUUCGUCUCCUCAGCACUUUCAGUAGCAGCGGCCUUUACUGAGCGCUCAUUUGCUGUGUGUCCCCACGCCAGGCGCUUGGGAAGGACAGAAUUCCCAAGUGGCACAUUCCCUGCCCGUCAGGAGCUUCCAGUCUAACAGGAGAGAUCAUUCCUUCUGAGCCCGCGUAUAUUUUCAUCUCUGUUAUCGGUUUGGAUGCCCGCUGCCUUAUUCAACUACUUUAUCCUGAUACGUUCUUACUAAUUCCUAUUCUUCCCCCAUUAACGUUGGUCUGUGCCCCUCAUUAAAUUGUCAGUUCUUGCCCGGAA